CGGUAAUUCCAGCUCCAGUAGCGUAUAUUAAAGUUGUUGCAGUUGAAACGCUCGUAGUCGGACUUCUUCCUCUUUGUAGGAAUUCGCCGAUCGCCUCACUGACCUUCACGGGUUGGUGGGUCUACGACGGCAUGUCACCUUGAGAAAAUUAGAGUGUUCAAGGCAGGCAAUCCCUGAAUACUGUAGCAUGGAAUGGCGCGCUAAUGCAGGCACGAGUCGCUGGUGUUCGUGCGAGGCAAAGGUCGAUAGGGGCAGUAGUGGGCAUUGGUAUUGGGUAGUGAGAGGUGAAAUUCUUGGACCUACUCAAGACCAACAUGUGCGAAAGCAUCUUGCCAAGGAUGCCUUCAUUGAUCAAGAACGAAGGUCGGGGGAUCGAAGACGAUCAGAUACCGUCGUAGUCCUGACUGUAAACUAUGCCGACUGGGGAUCCGAGGCGCAGAUAAACGACGCUUUGGGCACCCUCCGAGAAAUCAAAGUCUUUGGGUUCUGGGGGAAGUAUGGUCGCAAGGCUGAAACUUGAAGGAAUUGACGGAAGGGCACCACCAGGCGUGGAGCUUGCGGCUUAAUUUGACUCAACACAGGAAAACUUACCAGGCCCAGACAUGGCGAGGAUUGACAGACCGACCGCUCUUUCUCGAUCCCAUGGGUGGUGGUGCAUGGCCGUUCUUAGUUGGUGGAGUGAUCUGUCUGGUUGAUUCCGGUAACGAACGAGACCUUGGCCUGCUAACUAGUACAAUAAGUGCGCUUAAUGUCACUUCUUAGAGGGACACCGGUGGUUACACCGAGGAAGUUCGAGGCAAUAACAGGUCUGUGAUGCCCUUAGAUGUCCUGGGCCGCACGCGUGCUACACUGAUACAGUCAGCGAGUUUCAAAGUUGAAAAACCAAGAUAAUCUCUAAACUGUAUCGUGAUGGGGACAGUUCUUUGCAAUUAUGGAACUCCAACGAGGAAUGCCUAGUAAGUGCAAGUCAUCAGCUUGUGCUGAUUACGUCCCUGCCCUUUGUACACACCGCCCGUCGCUCCUACCGAUUUCGAGUGGUUAGGUGAGUUACUUGGACUGCUUUUUGUAGGAAGAGUAACAAAUCUUGCUACUUAGAGGAAGGAGAAGUCGUAACAAGGUAACC
rnacentral:rRNA from 1 species